CAAAAACAUCGCUCCCUGAAAAAUCAUUACUACAAUCAUAUAUCAAUUCAGAUAAUAUGUUAUAGGGAGUCGGACCUGCCCAGUGACAUACGUUAAACGGCCGCGGUACUCUGACCGUGCAAAGGUAGCAUAAUCAUUUGCCUUUUAAUUGAAGGCUUGUAUGAAUGGUUUGACGAGAACUAAGCUGUCUCUUCUUAAAUAUAAAAAAAUUAAUUAUUAGGUGAAGAAGCCUAAAUUUAAUUGAGGGACAAGAAGACCCCAUUGAGCUUUAGUGAUUUAAUAAAAAUUUAAAUUGAUUUACUACUCAGUGAAAACUAAUUAUUACAUAGAAUGUAAAUAUCAUUUAUUAAAAAUCUUUAGUUGGGGCGACUAAGGAACAUAAAAAGCUUCCUUUAAAUAUUUUCUUACAAGAAAUCAAUCUUAUUUCAGAGAUCCAGUUCUUACUGAUUAAAGAAAAAAGUUACCAUGGGGAUAACAGCGUAAUCCUUCUGAAGAGUUCAUAUCGAAAGAAGGGUUUGCGACCUCGAUGUUGGACUAAGAUAUCCUAAAGGUGUAGAAGCUUUUAACGGUUAGUCUGUUCGACUAUUAAAAUCUUACGUGAUCUG
rnacentral:rRNA from 1 species